UCAACUCAUGUACCUCAACUUGAGUUGACCAACAAUUAAAGAAGACGACCUGCUCCAACUGCUGAUCUACUGGUUGUUACAGAUUGUGGAAAAGCAUCACCAGCAGCACUGGACCAAUCAGGAAAGAGAAGACACAGAGGACUGAAGGGACUCAGAAAAUCCUGCUGGAAAUCCCAAGAUGAAGUUUCCUGAUGCAACAAGGGGACACCUGAGGACACAGAAUAAAGAAGGACCAUGUGAAGCAGAUGAUGGUGAAGGUUGAGGAGAUAAUGACUUGAUCAGAAACUGUGGACGACAACUGCAAACGCUCAGCAAACAGCAAAACGAGCUGCAAACAGACUCAUGAAGAGGACGGUCAGAGUCGUCCAUAGCUUUCUUGACUCUUCUGAAGAGUCUUUCUUUGCGUCAUCUCCAGAGGUUCCACAGUCAUCUCCAGAACAGAACCAGAACCAAUCCAGCCUUCUUUAUCAGAUUGUUGAGCCUUUUGAGGUUCCUGGCUCUGAUGCUGCUGCACCAACAGAUGAUAGCAGAAGAGAUGACACUCUCAGCAGCAGACUUAAAGAUCUGCAGCAACUUGCUGCAAACCUUGAAGGAUCUUAGCUUCCUGGAGAAGUGCAGUCUGCUCUGUCUCUUUUUGUAGACGGCUUGUCCACGUGGUUCCUGCCUUCUGUUGUGUCUCCAGUCCAGUCUGUGUUCCAGAUGAACACCGAGUCAAGAUUAGAUGAUUGUUCCCUCACCAGGCCACAAAGUGAUCCACCAGAUAUCUGUACUCAGCCUCUUGUCUUCCUCUGAUACACAACAACUGCAGAGUCGUCUGAGUAUUUCUGUAGAUGACAGAAGUCGGACUUGUGCUGGAAGUCUGAACAAUAGAGGGUGAAAAUGAACGGUGAGAGUACAGUGCCCUGUGGUGUUCCCAUGUUGUUGAGCACCUGGUUAGACUCACAGUCCUUCAGUCUCACUAACUGUGGUCUGUUUGUCAGGUAGUCACAGAUGCAGGUGAUUGUUGAGGCCUCCACCUGUGUCUUCUGGAGUUUCUAACAGAGCAGAUCAGGCUGAUUUGUGUUCAAUGCACCUGGGAACCAAAGACCCUGAUCCUCACUGUGCUGCCUGCUUUGUCCAGAUGACAGUGGGUUUGUUGAAGCAGGUGUCUGAUCAACUCCAACUCCACGGCGAUAAGCAAACUGCAGGGGGUCCUGAUAUGUGAUCGUCUGCUUACUCAAGUGGGCCACCAGGAGUCUCUCCAGGACCUUCAGGAUGUGGGACGUCAGGGCAACAGAUCUACAGGCCUUAUGACUGAUGGGUGACUUUUCUUCGGUACCGGAACCAGACAGGAUGUCUUCCACAACAACGGAACCUCCUCUUGGGUCAGGCAAAGGUUGAAGAGAUGCUGCAGAAUCCCACAGAGGGAAUCUGGGACUGACAGCAUCUGGACCUGCAGCCUCGUUCCUGUUCAGUCUCUCCGGCUGCUUCUUCACCUGACUUCUAGAUACAGAAAAGUUGGAGGUGGAGGCAAAGGGAGCAGCAGCGUCUCCUGAUGUGGUUAAAGACAAACUUGUGGAAGCAGAAGAGUCCAUGACUGAGGUGGAAUAUGGAACAUCUGAGGUUUGACAGGAAAGCUGUGGGUCAGAGGAGGAUGAGAAAUCUGUCUGGCUGCAGACAGGAGAGGAAGAUGAUGAGCUUGUUCCUGGACUGAACCUGUUGAAGAAUGUGUUCAGCUCAUUUCCUCUGUCCAGAAACUAAUAUUGUUAAAAAAAAGUCAUGGUAGCAUGUUUUUAUGUAAUAAUGUGUAUGUAAUGUUUGGAACGAAGAAGAUAUGCUGCAUAAUCUGAUGGAAUUACAGAAGAUCAUUGUGGC